GAUGAACGCUAGCUACAGGCUUAACACAUGCAAGUCGAGGGGUAACGAGAGGAAAGCUUGCUUUCCUUGUCGACGACCGGCGCACGGGUGAGUAACGCGUAUCCAACCUGCCCCCAACCAGGGAAUAACCUUGCGAAAGGAACACUAAUACCCUAUAAUUUCCUCAGAUGUCAUCUGACGAGGAAUAAAGAUUUAUCGGUUGUGGAUGGGGAGGCGUCUGAUUAGCUUGUUGGAGGGGUAACGGCCCACCAAGGCAACGAUCAGUAGGGGUUCUGAGAGGAAGGUCCCCCACAUUGGAACUGAGACACGGUCCAAACUCCUACGGGAGGCAGCAGUGAGGAAUAUUGGUCAAUGGGCGGAAGCCUGAACCAGCCAAGUAGCGUGCAGGAUGACGGCCCUAUGGGUUGUAAACUGCUUUUAUACAGGAAUAAAGUUAGCCACGUGUGGUUAUUUGUAGGUACUGUAUGAAUAAGGACCGGCUAAUUCCGUGCCAGCAGCCGCGGUAA
rnacentral:rRNA from 1 species